rnacentral:rRNA from 1 species
GGAAGGGGGUGUAUUUAUUAGAUAAAAAACCAAUGCCCUUCGGGGCUUUUUGGUGAUUCAUGAUAACUUUACGGAUCGCAUAGCCUUGCGCUGGCGACGGUUCAUUCAAAUUUCUGCCCUAUCAACUUUCGAUGGUAAGGUAUUGGCUUACCAUGGUUUCAACGGGUAACGGGGAAUUAGGGUUCGAUUCCGGAGAGGGAGCCUGAGAAACGGCUACCACAUCCAAGGAAGGCAGCAGGCGCGCAAAUUACCCAAUCCCGACACGGGGAGGUAGUGACAAUAAAUACUGAUACAGGGCUCUUUUGGGUCUUGUAAUUGGAAUGAGUACAAUUUAAACCUCUUAACGAGGAACAAUUGGAGGGCAAGUCUGGUGCCAGCAGCCGCGGUAAUUCCAGCUCCAAUAGCGUAUAUUAAAGUUGUUGCAGUUAAAAAGCUCGUAGUUGAAACUUGGGCCUGGCUGGCGGGUCCGCCUCACCGCGUGCACUCGUCCGGCCGGGC